UUAGCCUUGCGCAGCCUCCUCCCCCCCAGAGAGGUGUGCAAGGCUAAAGAGGAAGCCAGGGCAGCGAACGGGAUGGAUCGCCCUGCUGCCCUGGCUUCCUCUUUAGCCUUGCGCAGCCUCCCCCCGGCUGGAGAGGUUGCACAAGGCUUU